AAAGUGGACUGAAACCGCCCCCGAUCUAAGGUUCCAGCCCCCGUGUGUGGGGUGAUAUUUAAUUUUUGUACCCUGCAGCUGCCGUAGCAUUUACUAGCAGUCUUUCUAAAUAAAAUGAUCUGAAAACGGAAUACUGAAGUAAUUUUGGUUCCUCAGUAAUUAGACACUCUUGGAUGUGAUUAAAAAGAAACUCAAGUUUGUAGUGGUGCGGGGAAAUUAACGUUUGUGUGUGUGAUUGUUUAUGAAUAUAUCGUCCAUUGUGGAGGGACACAGUGUGAGCAAAUGUCAGCGCUGCGUGUUUAUUUCCACAGGAUACUGGCUCUUCCACCCAUCCUGGCACCUGUGUAUUUAUAAAAGAGUGUUUGAAAGUGGAAACAAAAUCCUGACCAAAGAAGGCGUUACCCAUUUUUUGGAGCUGUGUGAAACAAGGGUUCUCCCAUUUUCACCAGAAUUUUCUGAGGUAAUGACAGUGAUUCUGUCCACGCGUUGCCUCUGUCAAAGGACGAAAGGCGAAGGCAUCUGUUGCAGCAGAUGAGAUCUUCAGAAAUAAAUACUAGGGCUCUAACAUUACGAGUAACAUUUUACAGAUAUGCGUACAUCAAAUCCUGUUUCUCUAAACUCAGCUAUCGUACUUGGAAAGACUUCCUGUAAUGUAGUUUGUCGACAGGCUGCCGGCCUCGUGACCAGUGUGAAAAAGCAGCUCUUCGGUGUCAGUGUUCUGAGCAGAAGUCAGCAGCAUGAAGACUGCGCCAGAAGCUUGUCGGCGGUCCUGUUCCACGGUCCUGAGUCUCUGAAGUCCUGCUGCCUGUCUCGUGAUGCGGCUCCCCCAGUUCUGAGUCAGUGAAUUGCUAUCCACUGUAUUGAGCAUACAUGGCCUUUUGAGCUGUGGUAUUAGCGUCUACACUUCCAUUUGUCAGAAAGCACCCAAAGCAAAGAGAUUGUGACAAUCACAGCUGUGCUUUCACGUUUUAUAUUAUGGUGCCUGUGAGCCAUACGAUCACUGACUCGGGGAUGGUAAUUGAGCCCCCCUUUAGAGGGAGCCUGAGUAAACUUCCCUCAUUGUCCCACGGCGUGGACGGUGCUGCACUAGGCGUCGCUUCCCUUUGUUCCCCAGCCUCUUGCUCUCCUGUGAGCUUGCUUUUGUCUAGUGAUGGUUUUGAGGAUAGACCUUUAACUUCCAGGCACAGGGGCUUACAUUUUCUCUCGAGUAUCUUUUUGUUUUUCCUUUGUUACUACCUUUAUUUUCCACCAUGUGUUCCUCCUUUGGAUUCCUUCCUUCCUUCUUAACAUGUGUAUCGUCUUCUCAGUGUUCCGUAGGUUUUUAUCAGGCGGUGAAGUUCGGUGUUCUGUCAUUCUGGUGGAAUUAAGGUGUCCUCCAAGGCUGCCAUAAGCUAACCUCCAGCAGAAGAGAUGAACUUUGCUUAUAACGGCUCUUCUGUAGCCUGUGCAGGAUGUGCAGGUAGUUUCCUGUUAAAGUUUAUUCAGAGGACGACAAGUAGACAUUGGUGUACUGUCCCCAUUCUGCUUCUGUCUAAGGCUUUGGCAAACAUCCCAAGAUGUAAAGCUCUGGGUAUAGAAGGCCUUCUUGCCCUCAGGAGAGAAUGUCACCGUCCGACGUCUCAACUUUUCUCAUGUCUGUGAGGCAAGAGGACCCCUUAGGAUGACGGACUUCACUGUGGACAGAGGCUCACUCACUCUGUUAGAAGUCGCCUGUAUCAAAGACGCGAAAAGCAGCUGGCAGAAAGACUGGCUGCCCAGGUGGAAAUGAAGUGCCAGCUCAUCGACCGGCUUUACGCGGGUAGACAGGAAUGUGCCAGGGUGGAGACAGCUUUGAAGAACGCUGGGCGAGAGAAGGAGCCAGCAAACAUACCCGGCCUCGCUGCCGCUUACAGACACUUGGUGUCCGUCAACCUGAGUUCCAGGAAGGAAGUCACUUGUGUCAUCGAAGAACUGAGGAAAGAGAGAUUCCCUGCAGUUGAUUCAAGCAGAGAUGGCGGAGAUGCAGAGAGUGCUGGCGUUCCUGGAGGAGGUCACCACAAGCAGCACAUCGCAAGGGGCUGUUCCCACCGAGCCGGGAGACCCUGCGCCAAGCCCUGCUGGUCCCUCUCCCAGGAGCGGGCCCUCGUGUUAAAGCCGCGCUGUGCCCUCCCCUCUCACCCAGGCCUCCCAAGCUGCCGGGCUGCGGGCACUCACCCGGUCAGAUCUCCUCCUGCGCUGCCCUGAGGCCAGUGGAUGGAGGGCAGUCCCCUCCUUUGGACCAGAGUUCCUGCAGCUGUACCCGUGAGCACAGCAGUGAACACCUGCACGGUCAACUUCUCCAUCUUCAAUGUAUUCGAAUUCCCAGAACACACCAAGGAACGUGGGACUUUCUCAGUAUUCACAGACUGCUUGGAUUGUCUCUAAUUGGCAAUGAAGGAAAUGUGUUUAAGAGACUGAUCUUUUACUCAGUUUGACCUUCCUUGCACCCCAUUUCUCAAGGCAGUUUUAGUAACUAUUAUACAUCAGCUGUGUAAGAGAACUGUAUAUACAGGUUUCUGUACACAAAUAUUGCAGUGUCAUUUGAUAAUAUGUGUACUUUAUCUGUAAAGGCUUUUAGUUGGCCACGGUAUUCUUUCUAGAGUUAAAAUCUUAAAAGUCAUCAGUUUAAGCUAAAGAAAUAUUUAUUCCUGAGUUUUGUAUUUAAAAAAAACCAACAAAGCCUUUGAGAUGAUAAUAGAGUAUGCUUGUAAGAGUUUUUAUUGAAUAGUUAUAUUCUGUGAUAAGGAUAGAUACACUUAAAAAUAAAUUUGCUAAAUUGCAUGGAGAUUGUUUCUUUUUCCUGCAAUAACGCUGCAGUAUGAGUUUUCUGACCAAGAAGAAGUCCACCUGGACAACUUGCGGGAACCUCCACCCCCCUGCCCCUCCUGUCUCGCUUGCCAUCUUGCACUCACACGUCAGUGGAAAGCCAGGGCAGGGUUGGGGUUUUCUUUUCAUACAGAAUUAAGUUUUAGGCCCGCAGGUAGUACCGUUAUUCACAGACGACGUGCUCUCCCUGUGGAAUGGGCGCAAAGUGGUUUUGAUCAUGGUGGAAGGGACGGAGCUCAUAACACUUUUUUAAUGGAGGGAAUCACAUGAAUAAAUGACAGUGGGAGCACCAUGAUGAGGUGUAUGACAUUUCCUUGAAUUGAUUAAAAAAAAGUUGUGCUUGGGUUGGAGAAGAUAAAUGAACGUAAAAUGUAGUCCUGUCUUCCUGUUGAGGAGGACAGGAUGAUUCCAAACACAUUCCAGGUGAAACAGAAGCGGUGGCGCUUCAGAGGUGACACACAUACAAGGACAAAGAAGAGGAGCGGAAGCAGGGGAAUGUGGACUGGUCUUGGCAGAAGCGGUCCUGAAGCCCUCUUCCAGGAAGGGACACCUGAGCAUGAGGGACACCUGGAGAGAAGCUCUGUGGGUUGAGGGGACAGUACAGGUGAUCGCUCUGAAGGAGUUGUCAUGGUCACACUGUGUGUGAGGACCAGUCAGACUCAGCGUCUCCGGGAUGCAGUGACAGAUGGGAGGCCAUGGCUGUACCUCACUGACCUGCCCUUAGAGGUGCUUUCUCGGGUAGAAGGAGCCCCGGCUUGGAGGGGGAGGGAGCAGAAGGAGCGACUCAGCCUGAAGCCUCCGCUGCCUGGAAGCAGGGCCUGGUGUCCUUGCUCAGAGCUGAGUUGUGCAGCUGGAGGGGCCCCGGUGGGUGGGGCCAGGGGCAGGGCCUGGGUGUGUCAUGUAAAGAGGCCUGGGUGACAUGUGCUCCAGGGAAUGGAGCAGGGGAUGCUGUGGCAGGAAACCUGGGGGGCAGGGACUCGAGUGGCCCUUCCCGGCUCCAUGGGUCACUCUUAGAUGCCCUGAAGGCCUCCACCCCUGACCUGGCCUCCUCCCUGCCUCAGGUGUCAGCUCCAGUGUCUCUGGAGGCCCUGCUUCGCAAACAAAGCUCAAGCUUGAUAAAGAGAGCACAGAGAGUAGAAACUGCAGCCAAUGCUUUAAAACAUGUUUAACUUGUGUUCCAGAACUUCCACUUAUAGGGACCAGUCCUAAAAAAUAGAGAGAUGUAUGGAUGCAGAUGAACCCUUCAGUACAAUUAUGAGAGUAAACAAGUGGAAUUGGCCCAGCUGUGCACAGCUGGGGCUGCAGAGUGAACUGUGGUGUGCGGCCGCUGGUAAAGACUAAGGGAGACGGGACUGACUGCGUGUCCACCUGGGGGGACAUCAGGUUACCGAGGAGCACAGCCCAGGAGCCUCCCCACCCAUCCCCUCCUGUGCACACACACGUACACACACACACACACAUUCACAUACGCACACCACUGUACUUUGCAAGGGAAAAGACUGGAGAAAUGGAAACUGCUUGUUAAGGACAAUUCUUUUGUUUCAGGAUUUUAUUUGAUUUUAUCUUAUUCUAGUUUUAGUGAUAUAGACAUGCAGGGUUGCAUAAAUGUAAGGCCGACAUCGUCGUGACGAGACUGUAUACAUUGGGAAGUGACUGUUGCAAUGACUUGAGUGAAUAUCCGUCUCUUAUGGAUACAAGAGAAAAGAAAGAGAAACCUAUGUGUGGGUGGGGAGGGCUGUGUGUGAACACGCUGUCUUGUCUGCUCAAUUCUGCUGUGAACCUGAAACUGCUCUAAAAGAAUAAAGUCUAGUUUUAAAAAAGAAGGGAAUGGAUUAAUUUGUGAUGUAAUCUUAAAGGACAAAGUAUUCAGGCCUAUAAACAGAUGGAAUAGCAUAUUCAAUUAAAAACCUGUGUCUUGAAAAACAUUACUUAGAGCAAAGGAGACAGACAUCAAAGUGUACAGUGUGAUUUAUUUCAUUUCUAUCAAGUUCAGCCACCAUCCAACUGAUGGAUGCAUGUCAUCAGAGUGUGUGUGCGUUUCCGUUGAAAUGUGACAGAGGUGUACAUUCUUGUGUUCAUGGAUAUCAUUCAAACGUAGGGCUCAUACAUUGAGUUUUUGGAUACUGUUGAGGGUUAGGAAUUUGAAAACUGUGUGAAAUCAUAAACUUAACAUCGAUACGCUUCACUGUAUUUUUAUUCUAUAUAGAGAUAAACACAAAAAGAAAGAGGUAAGAAAAAUCACCAUUGGACAGUAAUGGAGAGAAUGACACUUUGCCUACAGCCCCUCCCCCGUCACAGCCCCUCCCCCACACGCUGGUAACUGACCCAUCCGGGAUGUCAGUUGCUGGCUGGGUUCCGGGUGGAAUGUUGGGGUGUCCCCCUGGGGCUUGUUGUGGCUGGGGCUCCAUGGUAACCGGGCUGAGCCCUGGGAGGGUCCGUGCCAUGGAGGGGCUGCUGUCCUCCAUGGAGCUUGGCUUUGGGCUGAUCCUGAGGGAGCUGAGCGAGGUCCUGGUGUCGCUGCCCCCAGAUGGCCUGUCUGCUCAGCUCAUGCUCCAGAGCCUCCAGUGGGAGACGCUGUUGAGUCUCCCUGUCCUCACCUCCUUGCUGGCUGUCUUAUUUGGCUGCAGGCUCACUCACUCUGUUAGAAGUCGCCUGUAUCAAAGACGCGAAAAGCAGCCGGCAGAAAGACUGGCUGCCCAGGUGGAAAUGAAGUGCCAGCUCAUCGACCGGCUUUACGUGGGUAGACAGGAGUGUGCCAGGGUGGAGACAGCUUUGAAGAACGCCGGGCGAGAGAAGGAGCCAGCAAACAUACCCGGCCUCGCUGCCGCUUACAGACACUUGGUGUCCGUCAACCUGAGUUCCAGGAAGGAAGUCACUUGUGUCAUCGAAGAACUGAGGAAAGAGAGAUUCCCUGCAGUUGAUUCAAGCAGAGAUGGCGGAGAUGCAGAGAGUGCUGGCGUUCCUGGAGGAGGUCACCACAAGCAGCACAUCGCAAGGGGCUGUUCCCACCGAGCCGGGAGACCCUGCGCCAAGCCCUGCUGGUCCCUCUCCCAGGAGCGGGCCCUCGUGUUAAAGCCGCGCUGUGCCCUCCCCUCUCACCCAGGCCUCCCAAGCUGCCGGGCUGCGGGCACUCACCCGGUCAGAUCUCCUCCUGCGCUGCCCUGAGGCCAGUGGAUGGAGGGCAGUCCCCUCCUUUGGACCAGAGUUCCUGCAGCUGUACCCGUGAGCACAGCAGUGAACACCUGCACGGUCAACUUCUCCAUCUUCAAUGUAUUCGAAUUCCCAGAACACACCAAGGAACGUGGGACUUUCUCAGUAUUCACAGACUGCUUGGAUUGUCUCUAAUUGGCAAUGAAGGAAAUGUGUUUAAGAGACUGAUCUUUUACUCAGUUUGACCUUCCUUGCACCCCAUUUCUCAAGGCAGUUUUAGUAACUAUUAUACAUCAGCUGUGUAAGAGAACUGUAUAUACAGGUUUCUGUACACAAAUAUUGCAGUGUCAUUUGAUAAUAUGUGUACUUUAUCUGUAAAGGCUUUUAGUUGGCCACGGUAUUCUUUCUAGAGUUAAAAUCUUAAAAGUCAUCAGUUUAAGCUAAAGAAAUAUUUAUUCCUGAGUUUUGUAUUUAAAAAAAACCAACAAAGCCUUUGAGAUGAUAAUAGAGUAUGCUUGUAAGAGUUUUUAUUGAAUAGUUAUAUUCUGUGAUAAGGAUAGAUACACUUAAAAAUAAAUUUGCUAAAUUGCA